rnacentral:lncRNA from 1 species
GAGUGGCCACCCAUUCUGAAAGUUUGAUUUUCUUCUGGUGAACUGGACAUCCUUUUAAUUACGUUUGAGGUUUUGGGCUUUUAAAUGUAAUAAGGCCGCUUAUUUAUUUUUGAUGGUUUUUAAUAUGUAUUACUAAGAUAGGUAAUACUUAUUUUAACUGUUGAAAUUGGAUAGCUUUAAGGCGCGUUUUCAAAAACAACAGUUGAUUUCAAAAUAACACGACAACAAGCAAAGCUUCCGUAAUGAAAGUAUUUUCCAAAAUUAAUCACUUUUCCUAAAAAUGACUUAAUCAAAUCGGUUUCCUAGAAAUAUCCAUGACGUUAAGGUGUGGCAAUGGCGGUAUGCAUGUCUAGGAUUGGAUCCGAAGGGAGCUUGGUACUUAAGCAGUCCGAUGGACUCACCACCUCUUUUCCGGUUUCCUACCUGGUGCACAGCUUCCAUUCACCUUAACCCUUAAUGAAUUAAUCUUUUGAACAUCAAGUAUGAUUUUCUGGACUUAGAAUGAAAUUUUUUUUUUUACGUUUUUGAUGUGGCAUGCCGGAUCCAGCCAUAACUUCUGGGCCGGGUUUAGGGUGUUACAUUUAGUGGUAUCAGAGCCUAGGUUGCAACAACUCGGCCGUGGAAUGGGUUUACAAAAACAAAGAUUUUCGAAAACAAAAAUUUUAUAAAGAAUGCAAAAAACUCGAUUUUCAAAAUUUAGAUCUUUAGAAUGUGGCAUUCCGAAUCUCCGGCUCAAGUCUAUAAGUAUUACUCUGAACUCUUCUGAAUAUUUUUCUGACUUAUCUGUCUGUACUGAAAUCCUGCUAGGAUACUCUAGAUAGGAUGAUACUGAAACCAUAGGAAAAUCUGAUAAGAGACUGAAACUGUAGCUAGACUUUGAUUCUGCGAAAACAAACUCUGAACUACUGUCUGAUUCAUAAAACAUCUGUAAUAAACACUGGAAUAUUAAUUGAUGCAUAAAAAUUCGUAAUCAAGAUAAUACAUAUGAGUACAAGAGGCCGUGGACGGAGCCGAGGAAGUGAUCGAGUGAGAUCUUCGUCUUCGAGACAUCUGUCGGCGGUGGAUGCACCGGUACCACCGGCAACAGAGGUAGAGUCUCAUGACCACGGUGCCGAGGAUGAUGCUCUGUCACAAGCAAUGCUUCGUGUUCUGGAAAGGGUUACCGGGGCAAGUACGGGCAAUAGAGUUCAGGGAUCAAUUUCUGAAUGACUUCGGGACUAACGGAACGGAGAUCUUUAAGGGCGUGUCUGGUAUAGCCCCGAAUGUGGCGAAAUAUUGGUUGAAGGCCACAGAACGGAUUAUGGACGACUUGGACUGCUCUGAGGAGAUUGUGAGUGGGGUAUCUGUACUAAGUCCUUUGGUUCACUCGGUUAGGGUAGACAAACUGUAUAGGGAUGUACCCUUAGAAACUCAAGGUAAAAUUUUCCCUAGAGAUCUGAUGGAGUUAUCGUUCGGAGAGUUUGAUCUCAUUUUGGGAAUGGACUGGCUUGUUAAGCAUAAAGCAACUCUGGAUUGUGCUGCUAAACGAAUGGUGUUAAGGACCACAAAGGAUGAGGAGGUUAUGGUGAUAGGUGAGCGAAGGGAUUAUUUUUCCAAUGUGGUGUCGGCAUUAAGAGCCGAAAAGUGGAUUCGGAAAGGUUGUGAGGUCUAUUUGGCAUUUGUAAGUCAGUCAGAAGAGGAGGAACUGACAGUGGAUAAGGUUAGGACUGUAAAGGAGUUCCAAGAUGCAACAGCAAUACCCUCAUUUGUUUGGAUUAGGUAAAUUUCGAGGACGAAAUUUCUUUAAGGAGGGUAGAGUUGUAACGCCCCAAUUUUCGGGAAUCCUGUGAAUGUUGGCAUAGGUUUAAUUAUGUUAGUGGGCCUCUAGAAAGCCCAAACUUAAGAUAGAACCCGACAAUUUUAGUUAAUUUUUGUUCCAUAAGAAAAAUGGGAUGAAAUUAUGAAAUAGAACCUAUGUGAAAAUGUUUAAAAAUGCUAUAGGCUAAAUUUAAGUGGCCAAAUAAAUAGGAGUGCAAAAUAGGAGGAUUUGCAUGACAAACCUCCCAUUUUACAUGAAGUGGCCAGCCAUCAUGUUGUUGUAGACAAAAUGUGCACUUGAUAUCCAUAAUUUAUGGUACAAAUUGAUACAAAUUGAUAAUAGGUUAGGUAAAUGUUCCAUGAUAAUGGGUUAGGUAAAUGUUUCAUGAUAAUGGGUUAGGUAAAUGUUUCAUGAUAAGAAUUUCAUGUCUUUUGUAUUAAAGAAUUAACUGGAUGAAAUAUGAAGUUUUAUUAAAAGAAAAAGGGGUGAAAAGAACAAAGUUUUGUCCAUCUUUGUUCAUCAUAGCUGAAAGUUAGAGAAGAGAAAGGAGAGGAGAAAGCUCUUGAGUAUUCGGUCAUUAGGAGGAGGAAAAUUGAAGGUAAGUUCUUGGUACCUUGCUUCUAUUUUGAGGUUCAUGAGUUCUUCUUGAUUCUACCUUAACUCUUAAAGUAUAUUUUGAUUUUUAGUUGUGUUGUGAGCAUUUAGUCAUGAAUUAAAAUGAAGGAAAUGGUUGUUGUUUCAUGUUCUUUUGAUGAAAAAUGGAAGAUAGGUGAAGUUGAGCCAAACAAAUGAACAUGCAUGUGCCUUAGAUGUUAAAGGGAAAAAUCAGCUAACAUGUUGUGCUUUAAAAUGAUGAAAUGGAGAUUAUACUUAAGUAAAAUCAUAGAUAUGUGAUGAUUGAUUGGUGAUAUACAUGUUUAAAUAACAUGCAUGCAAGUUAUGUGUGAAAGAGUGAAUUUGGUAAUAAAUCUGCUUGGGACAGCAGCAGUAACGUGAUUUUGGAAAAUCACCAUAAAUUGUGGGAGAUGAAUUAGAAGCUAAAUAAAUUAUGUAUUUAAAGCUUAUUGAGUCUAGUUUCUAAUGAAAUAAACAAGAACAUAUUUUAAAUUCUGUACAAUGAGAAAUUUGAUUUGUAAUGAAGCGUGGUCAGAUUAGUCAAACAGUGAAACAUGGGAAACUUUGAGAAAAAUCUGGUAUUUAUUGGCUAAACAAAAAAUUCUGAAAAUUUUAUGGAUAGAAGAUAUAUGAGUCUAUUUUCAGGGAAAAUUAACGGAACUUGAUUUGGAGUUUUGUAGCUCCAGUUAUAAAUGAUUUAGUGACUGUUGCUUAGGAAGACAGCUUGCAGUGAAAUUAUGAUUAUGUGGUAAACAUUGACAAAAAUUUGUUAAUGAGUUGCUUAUUGAUUUCUUAUAAGCUUACUAUGACCUGUAGGUGUGGUUGGCCGAAUAUUGUAAGGGAUUAAUACGUAGUUUGUAUUUAAAUAGUUAGAUUAACGUGUUAGUAAUUCAAUUGUAGGCGGUUCGUGUGUGGAUCUCGUCAGCAUAUCGUCGCAAACAGGUGUGUAACUAACACCCUCUUUCUUAGUCUGGAUCGCAAAAGUCGAAAGGCCGAAAUGCUGAAAACCAGUAUUUUGUAAAUUUGCGAGUGUGCGAAUGCUCGUGAGGUAAAUCGAUUAAUGUUUUUGGUAAGCUACAAUGUUUGGACUGCAAAGUGCAUGAUUUCUGUGCCCUCGAUAUUUUUGGGCUUAAUGGGCCAAAAUUGGAAUGAUGGGCCAAUGGGCCCAAUUCGGUAAGAACCCUCGGUAGUGAUUCUGUUAGUACGUGAAAGGUAGGAAUAUGCAUGAAAAACCCUAAAAUAGAUAAAUUACUGAAAUACCUUUAAAAGUGGAAAAUUUACAGUUUUACCCCUAGGAGAUAAAUUACCGAAAUACCCCUAGGGUUAAAUUGACCUAAAUGCAUGUUUGACUGUUGUUAUUUACUGCAUGCCAUGUUGUUAUUAUCUGGUGCAUGGGGCUGGGAUAUUGACGGAGGAAGUACUGAAAGUGGCUUGUCCACGUACUGGAGGCUUUGCCUCAAUUUACUGUUAAUUGAGCAGCAAGGCUGCAACUGUGGAGUGUUGGGCUGGGUGGGUUGAGCUAUUCCCCACAUGGAGUGUAUGGCUGGUACGGGUGGAGUGUAGUGGUUGGUGGGUUGAGUAGUCUCCCCAAAUGGGCUUGCAUAUGUUAUUGAUGUUGCAUGUAUUUUGAAAUGGGCCUAUGAGCCAUACUGUUAUCUGAAUAAUGGGCUAAGGCCCAGUUUAUUGUAAUCUGAAAAGGGCUCUGGCCCAGUACCACUGUUACCUGAAUGGGCUUAGGCCCAAUAGGCUUAAGCUGACUUGGGCUUUGAAUGGGUUUUCCUUACACACUGAGUUUCCCCAAACUCACCCCUUUUAUUUUCAUCCACGUAGGAAAUCCCCAACCAUAGUGGGCUUGGAGCUGUGAGGGAAUUCAGAGUGGCCACCCGUUCUGAAAGUUUGAUUUUCUUCUGGUGAACUGGACAUCCUUUUAAUUACGUUUGAGGUUUUGGGCUUUUAAAUGUAAUAAGGCCGCUUAUUUAUUUUUGAUGGUUUUUAAUAUGUAUUACUAAGAUAGGUAAUACUUAUUUUAACUGUUGAAAUUGGAUAGCUUUAAGGCGCGUUUUCAAAAACAACAGUUGAUUUCAAAAUAACACGACAACAAGCAAAGC